rnacentral:rRNA from 1 species
CGGCCGGUACGCCCUGGGCCACCCACGUACUACAAUGGCCGGUACAGAGGGCAGAUACACAGCGAUUUGAUGAGAAUCUGUGAAACACCGGUGUCAGUUCUGAUCGGAGUGUGCAACUGGACUCUAAGAAGCUGGAAUCGCUAGUAAUCGCGCAUCACCCAAGGCGCGGGGAAUACUGUUCCCGCGCCCUCGUACACCCCGUCCCGUCAAUCCAUGGCACUCGGGGGUACCUGACGUCGGCGACCGUAACAGGAGCUGCCUAGGGUAAAUCAGGUAACUAGGGCUAAGUCGUAACAAGGUAGCC